AGGCUGGCGCUUGCUCGUCUAUAAACAAACCCCUGUUGUGUUUUGCAUCAAAGCCUUGUCUACUCAGAGCUGCAGUGACAUUCCUUUGGAUUACGCUUGCGUUGCGAGAGCGGAGCAGUGAGGCAAGACGACACAAUCAACAACGAGUGCUAUUUUUCAGCCGCGCGUCCACACCAAGAAGACACCAGCAUUCUUCUGUAUGCCAAAACUUCCUGUUUAUGCUUUGGGUUUUUUAAUGCCUUGCGCCUUUUGUCAUUUUUUUGGCAACUUCUUGAAAACUGCUUUGCUAUUCUGACUCAGCUCUACCUUCACCACAACAGUCUGCAUGCAUCAAUAUAGCAAUGUCACGUAUCCUAUUUAUUAUGUAUUGUGUAAAACUAAAAGAAGAACAACAUCCACCAA